UACGUAGGGGGCAAGCGUUGUCCGGAAUCAUUGGGCGUAAAGCGCGUGUAGGCGGUUCGGUAAGUCGGCUGUGAAAGUCCAGGGCUCAACCCUGGGAUGCCGGUCGAUACUGCCGGACUAGAGUUCGGAAGAGGCGAGUGGAAUUCCUGGUGUAGCGGUGAAAUGCGCAGAUAUCAGGAAGAACACCGAUGGCGAAGGCAGCUCUCUGGGACGGUACUGACGCUGAGACGCGAAAGCGUGGGGAGCGAACAGG
rnacentral:rRNA from 1 species